rnacentral:rRNA from 1 species
UACGAAGGGUGCUAGCGUUGUUCGGAAUUACUGGGCGUAAAGCGCGCGUAGGCGGCUUAUCAAGUCAGGGGUGAAAUCCUGGGGCUUAACCCCAGAAUUGCCUUUGAAACUGGUAAGCUUGAGUGUCGGAGGGGAUAGCGGAAUUGCUAAUGUAGAGGUGAAAUUCGUAGAUAUUAGCAGGAACACCGGUGGCGAAGGCGGCUAUCUGGACGACAACUGACGCUGAGGCGCGAAAGCGUGGGGAUCAAACAGG